CCGGAGAAUGUUAUCACGGGAGACACACGGCGGGUGCUAACGUCCGUCGUGAAGAGGGAAACAACCCAGACCGCCAGCUAAGGUCCCAAAGUCAUGGUUAAGUGGGAAACGAUGUGGGAAGGCCCAGACAGCCAGGAUGUUGGCUUAGAAGCAGCCAUCAUUUAAAGAAAGCGUAAUAGCUCACUGGUCGAGUCGGCCUGCGCGGAAGAUGUAACGGGGCUAAACCAUGCACCGAAGCUGCGGCAGCGAACGUAUCACUUAAAGCGAUUCAGCGGGUUACGAUUGACGGAGCGAAGCGACGUCAAAGCGUAUACAAAGUCGAGUCGGUUUAAGGAUACGUUCGUUGGGUAGGGGAGCGUUCUGUAAGCCUGUGAAGGUGGCCUGUGAGGGUUGCUGGAGGUAUCAGAAGUGCGAAUGCUGACAUAAGUAACGAUAAAGCGGGUGAAAAGCCCGCUCGCCGGAAGACCAAGGGUUCCUGUCCAACGUUAAUCGGGGCAGGGUGAGUCGACCCCUAAGGCGAGGCCGAAAGGCGUAGUCGAUGGGAAACGGGUUAAUAUUCCCGUACUUGGUGUUACUGCGAAGGGGGGACGGAGAAGGCUAUGUUGGCCGGGCGACGGUUGUCCCGGUUUAAGCGUGUAGGUGUGUGUUCCAGGUAAAUCCGGUUCACUUUAACACUGAGGCGUGAYGACGAGGCACUACGGUGCUGAAGCAACAAAUGCCCUGCUUCCAGGAAAAGCCUCUAAGCAUCAGGUAACAYSAAAUCGUACCCCAAACCGACACAGGUGGUCAGGUAGAGAAUACCAAGGCGCUUGAGAGAACUCGGGUGAAGGAACUAGGCAAAAUGGUGCCGUAACUUCGGGAGAAGGCACGCUGACACGUAGGUGAAGUGAUUUACUCAUGGAGCUGAAGUCAGUCGAAGAUACCAGCUGGCUGCAACUGUUUAUUAAAAACACAGCACUGUGCAAACACGAAAGUGGACGUAUACGGUGUGACGCCUGCCCGGUGCCGGAAGGUUAAUUGAUGGGGUCAGCGCAAGCGAAGCUCCUGAUCGAAGCCCCGGUAAACGGCGGCCGUAACUAUAACGGUCCUAAGGUAGCGAAAUUCCUUGUCGGGUAAGUUCCGACCUGCACGAAUGGCGUAAUGAUGGCCAGGCUGUCUCCACCCGAGACUCAGUGAAAUUGAACUCGCUGUGAAGAUGCAGUGUACCCGCGGCAAGACGGAAAGACCCCGUGAACCUUUACUAUAGCUUGACACUGAACAUUGAGCCUUGAUGUGUAGGAUAGGUGGGAGGCUUUGAAGUGUGGACGCCAGUCUGCAUGGAGCCGACCUUGAAAUACCACCCUUUAAUGUUUGAUGUUCUAACGUGGACCCGUWAYCCGGGUUGCGGACAGUGUCUGGUGGGUAGUUUGACUGGGGCGGUCUCCUCCUAAAGAGUAACGGAGGAGCACGAAGGUUGGCUAAUCCUGGUCGGACAUCAGGAGGUUAGUGCAAUGGCAUAAGCCAGCUUGACUGCGAGCGUGACGGCGCGAGCAGGUGCGAAAGCAGGUCAUAGUGAUCCGGUGGUUCUGAAUGGAAGGGCCAUCGCUCAACGGAUAAAAGGUACUCCGGGGAUAACAGGCUGAUACCGCCCAAGAGUUCAUAUCGACGGCGGUGUUUGGCACCUCGAUGUCGGCUCAUCACAUCCUGGGGCUGAAGUAGGUCCCAAGGGUAUGGCUGUUCGCCAUUUAAAGUGGUACGCGAGCUGGGUUUAGAACGUCGUGAGACAGUUCGGUCCCUAUCUGCCGUGGGCGCUGGAGAACUGAGGGGGGCUGCUCCUAGUACGAGAGGACCGGAGUGGACGCAUCACUGGUGUUCGGGUUGUCAUGCCAAUGGCACUGCCCGGUAGCUAAAUGCGGAAGAGAUAAGUGCUGAAAGCAUCUAAGCACGAAACUUGCCCCGAGAUGAGUUCUCCCUGAGACUUAGAGUCUCCUGAAGGAACGUUGAAGACGACGACGUUGAUAGGCCGGGUGUGUAAGCGCAGCGAUGCGUUGAGCUAACCGGUACUAAUGAACCGUGAGGCUUAACCUU
rnacentral:rRNA from 1 species